rnacentral:rRNA from 1 species
UACAGAGGGUGCAAGCGUUAUUCGGAUUCACUGGGCGUAAAGAGCGCGUAGGCGGUUUAGUAAGUCGGGUGUGAAAUCCCAGAGCUCAACUCUGGAACUGCAUUCGAUACUGCUAGACUAGAGUACAGGAGAGGAGAACGGAAUUCCCGGUGUAGAGGUGAAAUUCGCAGAUAUCGGGAGGAACAACAGAGGCGAAGGCGGUUCUCGGGACUGUAAAUGACGCUGAGGAGCGAAAGCGUGGGGAGCAAACAGG